rnacentral:ncRNA from 1 species
GUCAUAAGAUUUCCCAAAAAUCAAUCUCAAUGAAGAGGGUGUUGAAAUCAAGGAAACAUUUGAGGGCAUUCCAUAACUUUUUCCCCUUCAAGCAAUAUCACAGACAACGUGCACUCCUUUUCCUCCUCUACAUCAAUCAUGUGAAAAUCCCUAUAAACUAAUGAAUGUAUUUCCAAUGAUUUGUCAAUAAUCCAUUUCUAUAAAAGGGCACAUUCAUCAUUAGACACACAGAAGUUGGAUAAACCCAACAACCUUCCAUCCAAAUUCAAAAAAAUUGAAACCCAUUUUUGAGAGUUGUUGGUGCCUCAUCCCAUAACUGACGACAAUGUUAGGAAAUCUGGAGACAUCGUCAGGGGCCCCAAGAAGAGUUAUCUUUUAUUUUUAAUAUCUUGCCCACCCUGAAAUCAUCUCAACCGAAGAUAGGGUCCAACAGUUGGAAGAGCAUCGCACGUCUUGCAGUGUCCGGUGCACCCUCAAUAACCCUUGAAAAUAUGGAGGAUCGAGUACCGUCCAUGCCUGGUCGUACUCAUAACCGCAUCAGGUCUCCAAGGUGAAUAACCUCUGGUCAAUAGAAUAAUGUAGGUAAGGGAAGUCGACAAAACAGAUCCGUAACUUCAAGAAAAGGAUUGGCUUUGAGGGCUAGGCCUAGGGGUCUGCGUCCUCAACCCAUGGGUUGUUGGUAGUCUUCCCGUGGGACUGUCAUUGAUUAAUGCUACCUCCUUUUGAAUGGUAGUGCAACUAAUUAAAGCUACCUCCUUUUGAAUGGUAGUGCAACUACUUCUUCUUUUAUCUUUUAGAAGUGCUUGGGGCAUUUAUCAAGGUGU